rnacentral:rRNA from 1 species
GACGAACGCUGGCGGCGUGCUUAACACAUGCAAGUCGAACGGAAAGGCCCUGCUUUUGUGGGGUGCUCGAGUGGCGAACGGGUGAGUAACACGUGAGUAACCUGCCCUUGACUUUGGGAUAACUUCAGGAAACUGGGGCUAAUACCGGAUAGGAGCUCCUGCUGCAUGGUGGGGGUUGGAAAGUUUCGGCGGUUGGGGAUGGACGCGCGGCUUAUCAGCUUGUUGGUGGGGUAGUGGCUUACCAAGGCUUUGACGGGUAGCCGGCCUGAGAGGGUGACCGGCCACCUUGGGCCUGCGAUACGGCCCAGACUCCUACGGGAGGCAGCAGUGGGGAAUAUUGCACAAUGGGCGGAAGCCUGAUGCAGCAGCGCCGCGUGCGGGAUGACGGCCUUCGGGUUGUAAACCGCUUUCGCCUGUGACGAAGCGUGAGUGACGGUAAUGGGUAAAGAAGCACCGGCUAACUACGUG